rnacentral:rRNA from 1 species
GACGAACGCUGGCGGCGUGCUUAACACAUGCAAGUCGAGCGGUAAGGCCCUUUCGGGGGUACACGAGCGGCGAACGGGUGAGUAACACGUGGGUGACCUGCCCUCAGCUCUGGGAUAAGCCUGGGAAACUGGGUCUAAUACUGGAUAUGACUCCACGGUGCAUGUCGUGGGGUGGAAAGCCUUGUGCGGCUGAGGAUGGGCCCGCGGCCUAUCAGCUUGUUGGUGGGGUGANGGCCUACCAAGGUGACGACGGGUAGCCGGCCUGAGAGGGCGACCGGCCACACUGGGACUGAGACACGGCCCAGACUCCUACGGGAGGCAGCAGUGGGGAAUCUUGCGCAAUGGGCGAAAGCCUGACGCAGCGACGCCGCGUGAGGGAUGACGGCCUCGGUGUAAC